rnacentral:rRNA from 1 species
UACGUUCCCGGGCCUUGUACACACCGCCCGUCACACCACGAAAGUUGGUAACACCCGAAGCCGGUGGCCUAACCCUUUUGGAGGGAGCCGUCGAAGGUGGGAUCAGCGAUUGGGGUG